CAUGUCCUUUUGAUAAUAAUUUAAGGUCUAAUCUGCCCACUGAGGAGUUAAAUGGCCGCGGUAUUUUGACCGUGCAAAGGUAGCAUAAUCAUUAGUUUCUUAAUUAGAAGCUGGAAUGAAUGAUUGGAUGAGAAAAUAACUGUCUCAAAUUAAUUUAGUUUGAAUUUUAUAUUUAAGUUAAAAAGCUUAAAUUUAAUUAAAAGACGAGAAGACCCUAUAGAGUUUAAUUUUAAAAUUAGAUUUUAAAUUAUUGAUUUUAUUGUUAAAAUUUAUUUUUAAAAUUUUGUUGGGGUGAUAGAAAAAUUUAAUUAACUUUUUUUAAAUAUUAACAUUAAUUAAUGAAUAAUUGAUCCAAAAUUUUUGAUUAAAAGAAUAAAUUACCUUAGGGAUAACAGCGUAAUUUUUUUUAAGAGUUCUUAUCGAAAAAAAAGAUUGCGACCUCGAUGUUGGAUUAAAAUUAAUUUUUGGUGUAGAAGCUAAAAAAUUAGGUCUGUUCGACCUUUAAAAUUUUACAUGAUCUGAGUUCA
rnacentral:rRNA from 1 species